rnacentral:rRNA from 1 species
AUUGAACGCUGGCGGCAGGCCUAACACAUGCAAGUCGAACGAGUGGCGGACGGGAGAGUAAUGUCUGGGAAACUGCCUGAUGGAUGGGGAUAACUACUGGAAACGGUAGCUACUACCGCCUACCAUCGGAUGUGCCCAGCUGGGAUUAGCUAGUAGGUGGGGUAAAGGCUAACCUAGGCGACGAUCCCUAGCUGGUCUGAGAGGAUGACCAGCCAAACUGGAACUGAGACACGGUCCAGACUCCUACGGGAGGCAGCAGUGGGGAAUAUUGCACAAUGGGCGCAAGCCUGAUGCAGCCAUGCCGCGUGUAUGAAGAAGGCCUUCGGGUUGUAAAGUACUUUCAGCGGGGAGGCGUUACCCGCAGAAGAAGCACCGGCUAACUCCGUGCCAGCAGCCGCGGUAAUAC